rnacentral:rRNA from 1 species
AUUGAACGCUGGCGGCAUGCCUUACACAUGCAAGUCGAACGGUAACAGGUCUUCGGAUGCUGACGAGUGGCGAACGGGUGAGUAAUACAUCGGAACGUGCCUAGUAGUGGGGGAUAGCUACUCGAAAGAGUGGCUAAUACCGCAUGAGAUCUACGGAUGAAAGCAGGGGAUCGCAAGACCUUGUGCUACUAGAGCGGCCGAUGGCAGAUUAGGUAGUUGGUGGGAUAAAAGCUUACCAAGCCGACGAUCUGUAGCUGGUCUGAGAGGACGAUCAGCCACACUGGGGCUGAGACACGGCCCAGACUCCUACGGGAGGCAGCAGUGGGGAAUUUUGGACAAUGGGCGAAAGCCUGAUCCAGCAAUGCCGCGUGCAGGAUGAAGGCCUUCGGGUUGUAAACUGCUUUUGUACGGAACGAAAAGCCCCGGGUUAAUACCCUGGGGUCAUGACGGUACCGUAAGAAUAAGCACCGGCUAACUACGUGCCAGCCGCCGCAGUAA